AACUCUCUCUCUCUCUCUCUCUCUCUCUCUCUCUCUCUCUCUCUCUCUCUCUCUCUCUCUCUCUCUCUCUCUCUCUCUCUCUCUCUCUCUCUCUCGGUGCUCUUGGGACGAUGUCGUUCCUCCAUCGGCGCCUCCACCUUUGCUACUCUCGAUGGUCUUUGCCUCUGCAAUCAAAGCCGGGUAUUGGGAUAUGCCGAAGACCUUCGCAGCGGAGAUUGGGGAUACUGGAGAGCUUCGCGGGGGAGAUUAUAGCAAAGGUUGCUCAUGAACUCAGAGAAAGACUCAUUUUCGUAUUCUAGAAGUACCAAAAAGGUAGAUACUUUCUUGCCCAUCUCUUAAUUUCAUUGAUGAACUUUCUUGAUCUUAUAUUUGUGGGUAAUUUUUUACGAUUGAGAACUCAAUUGGCCUUUAUUUUUUUCACUAAUCAAACAUGAGGUGUCUGAUUCAUAUUUCUCCUCCAGCUCACAUGAUGAAUGUGUAUGAGACUUGUGUUGUAGUGUUGCUCUGUCAUUAUGUUUCGCAUCUCAAUAAUCAUCUCUAGUUAAGCAUGAGACUUUUGUGUAGAGGUAUGUAUUAAGCUUCUUCUUAACAACCAGGUAUGACGAAAAGACUCGCAUGGUUAUCAGUCCUUGCUUUGAUGUUAACUCACCAUUGUAUUAGAAACUUAAAUUUCUUUAUGGAAUUCUUUAUGGAAAUUUGUUUCAGUAUGGAUUUCUCAUUUUUACUGAUUCUUCUGGAAGUUCUCUAUAAUUAGGAAGCUAAAGUUACAGCAGCUUUUAAGUCCCAAAUCGAGAAGCUAUAGAAAGAGAGAGAUGAGUUUCAGAAGAUUGUCAUUGGGAAUCAGGGACAACCCAUCACAUCUAAUAGCAAAUGAAGAACUCACUAUCACAGAAGAGGCCUCAACAACAUAUGAACUAACAAAUGACAUAUCUGAAGAACUCAUGUAGAAUGAUUCGUUCAAACUCAAAA